UCCUACGGGAGGCAGCAGUGAGGAAUCUUGCGCAAUGGGCGAAAGCCUGACGCAGCCACGCCGCGUGCCGGAUGAAGGCCCUAUGGGUUGUAAACGGCUUUUAAGCAGGAAGAACGACCGGAUUUCGAUCUGGUGUGACGGUACUGCUUGAAUAAGCACCGGCUAACUCCGUGCCAGCAGCCGCGGUAAUACGGAGGGUGCAAGCGUUGUCCGGAAUCAUUGGGUGUAAAGGGUGCGUAGGCGGGCGUCUAAGUCUGGGGUGAAAUCUUGCCGCUUAACGGUAAAAUGGCCUUGGAUACUGGGCGUCUUGAGUGUAGAAGAGGUAAGUGGAAUUCGUAGUGUAGCGGUGAAAUGCAUAGAUAUUACGAAGAACAUCAGUGGCGAAGGCGGCUUACUGGUCUACAACUGACGCUGAGGCACGAAAGCGUGGGGAGCGAACAGGAUUAGAUACCCUGGUAGUCCACGCUGUAAACGAUGCAUACUAGGUGUUGGCCUUUCGAGGCCAGUGCUGCAGUUAACGCAUUAAGUAUGCCACCUGGGGAGUACGUCGGCAACGAUGAAACUCAAAUGAAUUGACGG
rnacentral:rRNA from 1 species